rnacentral:misc_RNA from 1 species
UCCGGCUUCUCGCCGGCAGUCCUCUUCGAGUGCCCGGCAUAACCCGCUUUCACGGGUUUCACCCUGCAUGUCAAGCCCAGGUAAGGUUCUUCGCGUCGCAUCGAAUUAAGCCGCAUGCUCCGCCGCUUGUGCGGGCCCCCGUCAAUUCCUUUGAGUUUUAGCCUUGCGGCCGUGCUCCCCAGGCGGGGUGCUUAAUGCGUUAGCUUCGGCACGGACGGGGUUGAUAUCCGCCCACACCUAGCACCCAACGUUUACGGCUAGGACUAC